rnacentral:rRNA from 1 species
UACCGCAUACGCCCUNGAGGGGGAAAGUGGGGGACCGUAAGGCCUCACGUUAUACGAGCAGCCGAUGUCUGAUUAGCUAGUUGGUGGGGUAAAGGCUCACCAAGGCAACGAUCAGUAGCGGGUCUGAGAGGAUGAUCCGCCACACUGGGACUGAGACACGGCCCAGACUCCUACGGGAGGCAGCAGUGGGGAAUUUUGGACAAUGGGCGCAAGCCUGAUCCAGCCAUGCCGCGUGUCUGAAGAAGGCCUUCGGGUUGUAAAGGACUUUUGUCCGGGAGCAAAUCCCAGUGGUUAAUACCUACUGGGGCUGAGAGUACCGGAANAAUAAGCACCGGCUAACUACGUGCCAGCAGCCGCGGUAAUACGUAGGGUGCAAGCGUUAAUCGGAAUUACUGGGCGUAAAGCGUGCGCAGGCGGUUGUGCAAGUCUGAUGUGAAAGCCCCGGGCUU